CAUGGUCCGAUCAUGGCCUUGUGAGAGUUAAAUCCUCUCUCCGCCUAUUGGCGAAGAUUCAUCAUAAAUCAAGAUUGAAGACACCUCGUCUAGACGUGUAUAGGUUGAGGGCAGAAGAAGGCUGUGAGCUCCUUCGGAAGAAACAUCAAGGCUGAGCUUGAAGGUAUGGCAGCUGAACAUGAAGAGGCGAUGAAUGUAGAACGUUCAUGGAACGUUUUAAAAGAAGGCAGCAGCAAAUCUGCUACAGCUUCAUUGGAUUCCAGCGGCGAAAGCAUCAAGAGUGGUUUGAUGAAAACGAUGUGCAGAUGGUGUCAAUUCUAUCAGACCUACAACAAAAACAUCUAGAUUGGCUCUCUGACAAGCUGAAUCAAGCAAAGAAGGAGAGCUAUCAACAUGUGAAAUCUGCAGCACAAGCAAAGAUCAGGAGAAUGAAAGAGGAAUGGUGGAAGGAAAAAGCUAGACUGAUGCAGAGUGCGGCAAACAAGAACGAUCUGCGUACUUUCUAUAAUGAGCUAAAAGCUAUCCAUGGCCCUUGCUUUAAUGGCAUGCUGGCUGUUCAUAGCUCGGACGGGCGCAUCAUUCUCAAUGAUCCUACGCGUAUCAUAGAGAGAUGGGCUGAACACUUUGAACAACUGCUAAACCGUCCAUCCCACAUAGCAAAUGCAGUGCUUGACGAUCUACCAAGCAGACCAACGCUUAAAUGCCUGAGUUUACCGAUAACGCUCGAUGAAGUCACAAAUGCCAACAGUGUGCUUAAAAAUGGUAAGGCAUCUGGAUGCGAUUCCAUUCCACCCGAAGUCUUCAAGUAUGGUGGCCCCUAUCCAGCUGAAAGACUACAGCAGCUGUUUUCCGUUAUAUGGACAAAAGAGGUCGUUCCACAAGAUUUCAAGGAUUCGAAAAUCAUUCAUUUUUAUAAAAGGAAGGGCGAAAGAGCGGACUGCAACAAUCAUCGUGGCAUCUCGCUGUUGUGUAUUGCUGGAAAAAUCUUGGCACGUAUAAUAAAUAGUGAGACGGGCAACUGCUUUGGCGGAGGAGGUGAACCCUGAAAGCCAAUGCAGAUAUAGGGAGAACCGUAGUACAGUGGACAUGCCUUUCUCCGCACGUCAAGUGCAAGAAAAAUGCAGAGAACAGCAGCGUGACCUCUAUAUAAUCUUUGUGGAUCUAACAAAGGCCUUUGACGUGGUAUCCCGCACAAGACUUUGGAUGCUCCUCCACAGAGUUGGUUUCCCAGAAAAGGUGAUAAACACCAUUCGAUCUUUUCAUGAUGGCAUGCAAGCACAUGUUGUAGACGUUGGGCUGGAAUCUGCUCCCUUUGACGUAGAUAAUGGUGUCAAGCAAGGUUGUGUUUUUGCACCACUGCUGUUUAGCAUUGUUAUGGCCGCUGUGAUCUAUGAUUCCUUUCAUAAUUGCGAGAAAGGCAUAAAUUUCAAUGUGCGGUACGAUGGAGGAAUAUUCAACCUUCGGCGAUUUAAGAAAAAGACCAAAGUCCACCAUAGAGCUACUCUACGCUGGUGACUGCGCUCUUGUUGCUCACACCGAAGAUGUCCAAGUUCUUAUUGACUGCCUUAGUAUGCCACAAAGAGAUAUGGCCUUUCGAUCUCCAUAAAGAAAACUGAAGUGCUAUUACAACCUAGGCCUGGUAGCUGCUACAAAGAGCCUGCAGUCACGAUCGGAUCUGACAAUUUGAGGGCAGUCACUAAGUUCUGUUACUUGGGAGGUGUUCUAUCUAACGAUUGUUCCCUUGACCCUGAAAUCGCAGCACGAUUGGCGAAAGCAAGUUCAACAUUUGGGCGCCUUGCUUCGAGGUUAUGGGACACUCAUGACAUCUCUCUAGUGACAAAGGUGUCUGUCUAUCAAGCAGCUGUUCUAAGUGUCUUACUCUAUGGUGUAGAAACCUGGACAUUAUAUCGCCGACAUAUUAGACAGCUAGAUGCCUUUCAUAUGCGCUGCCUACGGAGAAUUAGUAGAAUCUCCUGGCAAGACCGUAUACCCAACACUGAAGUGCUGUCUCACUGCCAUAUGCGCGGGAUUGAGGCCUACAUAAUGGAAGCCCACCUUCGGUGGACAUGGCAUGUUGUUCGUGUGAGCGCUGAGAGACUACCACGAGCCCUUUUAUACAGUGAACUGUCUGAUGGUGCUCGUAAAGUUGGUGCGCCUAAGAAGCGUUUUAAAGAUCAAUUGAAGAGUACGCUGAACAAAUGCGAUAUAACUGACUUCGAAGCUCUUGUAAGCAAUAGAGCCCAGUGGAAGACAACUGUUAAGUGCGGGGUUGCGAAGUUUGAGGAUGCUCGAAUAGCAGAUCUGAGGGAACGUCGUCGCUGCCGCAAAGAGGAUAUACUAGCACAGGGUUGCUAUCCAUGCCACAAGUGUCCAAAAGUUUGCCACUCUUAUAUUGGAUUAGUGAGUAAUCUCAGAGCUCACGACCGCAAGGGAGAAUAAACAACAUUGUUGUAUGCUUCAAAACCUGGAUCUGUCGGUCGCCACAGCCAAACCAAACCCACCAAAGGAGGCAUUGACUAUCCUUCCAAGCAAUAUCGCUAUUGUGAGGGAGAUGCAACAAUUUCAGGACUGCAAUCCUCAGAAACGUGGGAGAUCACGUGACGUUACGGAAUGAUGUGACUCAUCCAGAUUUAUUAAUGAAUGUGUCCACUUCUGCCGUGGAAGUUCAGAAAAUUCUUUCCAAGUUAGACGUAAAGAAGGCUACAGGAGGGGAUAAUAUUCCAGCGAGAAUCUUAAAAGAAUGCUUUAUGGAGCUUUCGUACCCACGCUCUUCUCUGUUUAAUAUGUCUUUUAGUUUGGGCGUGGUUCCCAAUGGAAUGGAAAAGAGCUAAUAUUACACCUGUCUUCAAGUCUGAUAACAAAACCUUGGUUGAAAAUUACCGGUCAGUCUCCUUGUUGUCUCUUCCCAGCAAGUGCUAGGAGACUGCAAGAAGAGAGUACGUGUUAUUUACAAGGGGCAACCAGCAGCGGAUACAGGUGGAGUCACUCGGCAACUUUACACCCAGCUGCUUGAAGUGAUUUCACAGCAGUUCUUUCAUGGUGACACCUUUAAAAUUCCUAUCUACAAUUCUAACAUGGUGGUCUCAAGUAUCAUGAAACUUGUGGGUACCAUUAUAGUCCACAGCAUCCUUCAAGGAGGGCCUGGAUUGCCGGUAUUCAGUCCUUCUGUUUACCAUUAUCUUGCAACUGGUAACCUAGAUGAUUCUGUACAGAGAAUUUCUGUAGAUGACUGCAGUAUUCCCACUAAGCACUUCAUAGACAAGGUUUUAAAGGCAUCUGUCUCAACUUUGGAUGCAGAGGAAAUGGACAGUUUUCUGUCGGAGUGUGGUUUAACUGUUGCAUUGACUGAUUCAAACAAGACAAUGGUCUUGCAGGGCAUAAUAGUGCAUGAUGUCCUGGGGCGCCCUAAAAUACUUCUUGAUCAACUGCGAGAUGGCCUUGCAGUGCUGUCCCUUGGUGAAAAGAUGAAACAAUAUCCUGACCUUUUCUAGGAAUUAUUUGUGCUCCAAGACAAGGAGUUGAUUCCUAGUGAUGUUAUCGGGGUAUUACAGUUUCCUAAACCAGCAAGUAGCAUAGAAGCCACUAUUGAGAGCUAUUUAGUAGAAUACUUGCAGAAUGCAUCGCUUGAAACACUGAAUCAGUUUCUUGUCUUUUCAACUGGUGCACCCUGUUUACCACAUUUUGGACUGGGCAAAAUUGAAAUAAAAUGUGACUAUGUCACAUCAAUUUUUGCUUCAACUUGCCUGAAAAGUAUAAGCUUUCCUCAAGUUUUUCCUGACAAAAUGACCUUUUCAAGUUCCCUUGAAGCAGUAAUAUCCGUUACAACCAAGUCCUUCAACUGUGUGUAGGAUCUUGACAUGUUGAA
rnacentral:lncRNA from 1 species